rnacentral:rRNA from 1 species
AACGAACGCUGGCGGCAGGCCUAACACAUGCAAGUCGAACGCUCCGCAAGGGAGUGGCGCACGGGUGAGUAACACGUGGGAACCUACCUUCUGGUACGGAACAACCAAGGGAAACUUUGGCUAAGACCGUAUACGACCUCCGGGUGAAAGAUUGAUCGCCGGAAGAGGGGCCCGCGUCCGAUUAGGUAGUUGGUGAGGUAACGGCUCACCAAGCCUUCGAUCGGUAGCUGGUCUGAGAGGAUGACCAGCCACACUGGGACUGAGACACGGCCCAGACUCCUACGGAGGCAGCAGUGGGGAAGUAUUGGACAAUGGGCGCAAGCCUGAUCCAGCCAUGCCGCGUGAGUGAUGAAGGCC